CCUGACUUCACAUACAAUCCUGUUCUGUAUAUAAGCGUAAACGUGCGAGCGGCCAACUUACUGUACCCUCGGAUUUCAAUACCUAAAGAAGCAUACAUACCUUCUAUUAAUAAUGGCUGACUCUGAUCGCAUUGUGUACCCUGACGAGGUCGCCGAGGUCAAGGCCGACGCUAUUGCUGCAGCAGAGGCUGAAAACAAGACCUCAAGUGGUGACAGCAACACCGUGGAGACUCCAGCUCCCGGAGAAAUCACAAUGAGGAAUGUAAUCACAGUUCCUACCAACUGUCCACCUGGUUAUAAGAUGGGAGCUGACGGCGUUUGUCGUGAAGUGUUUUAACUAUUUGUACGUUUAACUAAGUUUACAGCUAAAGAGAUUUGAGUAUAUUUUUGCGUAUAGGUGUAAUGUAAGAUCGUCAGUCUUUUAGAAUAGAUUUCGCAGUAACUAAAUGUGUUAAGUGACCCCACAAACGGUUCCAGUGACAAAUGAACUUCUAAAAUUACAUGCAAGCACAUGACAUUGUUAUACCAGUAUUAUUAAAUCGAAUUGGUGAUGUAUUUAGUAUAGAUGUGUUUAUUUAGUUGUUAAUGAAAAUAAUAAUAUUCUGUUGUAUUAAUUAAAUGUUAAGUGAUA